UCCCUGGUGGCUCAAAUGGUAAAGCAUCUGCCUACAAUGCAGGAGACCCAAGUUCAAUUCCUGGGUUGGGAA
rnacentral:tRNA from 1 species